GGGGUUGUGGCUCAGCGGUAGAGCACUUGCCUUGCACAUGUGAAGUCCUGGGUUCAAUUCUCAGCACCA
rnacentral:tRNA from 1 species